UACGAAGGGGGCUAGCGUUGUUCGGAAUUACUGGGCGUAAAGCGCGUGUAGGUGGCCACGCAAGUCAGGUGUGAAAGCCCAGGGCUCAACCCUGGAAGUGCACAUGAUACUACGUGGCUGGAGUACUGAAGAGGAGAGCGGAAUUCCCGGUGUAGAGGUGAAAUUCGUAGAUAUCGGGAGGAACACCAGUGGCGAAGGCGGCUCUCUGGGCAGAUACUGACACUGAGACGCGAAAGCGUGGGUAGCAAACAGG
rnacentral:rRNA from 1 species